rnacentral:rRNA from 1 species
GAUGAACGCUGGCGGCGUGCUUAACACAUGCAAGUCGAACGAUGAAGCUCAGCUUGCUGGGUGGAUUAGUGGCGAACGGGUGAGUAACACGUGAGUAACCUGCCCUUAACUCUGGGAUAAGCCUGGGAAACUAGGUCUAAUACCGGAUAGGAGCGUCCACCGCAUGGUGGGUGUUGGAAAGAUUUAUCGGUUUUGGAUGGACUCGCGGCCUAUCAGCUUGUUGGUGAGGUAAUGGCUCACCAAGGCGACGACGGGUAGCCGGCCUGAGAGGGUGACCGGCCACACUGGGACUGUGACACGGCCCAGACUCCUACGGGAGGCAGCAGUGGGGAAUAUUGCACAAUGGGCGAAAGCCUGAUGCAGCGACGCCGCGUGAGGGAUGACGGCCUUCGGGUUGUAAACCUCUUUCAGUAGGGAAGAAGCGAAAGUGACGGUACCUGCAGAAGAAGCACCGGCUAACUACGUG